rnacentral:rRNA from 1 species
UACGAAGGGGGCUAGCGUUGUUCGGAAUCACUGGGCGUAAAGGGCGCGUGGGCGGCCGAUCAAGUCGGGGGUGAAAGCCUGUGGCUCAACCACAGAAUUGCCUUCGAUACUGUUUGGCUUGAGACCGGAAGAGGUAAGUGGAACUGCGAGUGUAGAGGUGAAAUUCGUAGAUAUUCGCAAGAACACCGAUGGCGAAGGCACUUUACUGGGCUAUUACUAACACUGAGAGACGAAAGCUAGGGUAGCAAAUGGG